GGCUUGCAGAGGGCCAGAGCGCCUGCUUCGAGGCAAAGCUUUGCAAUUUUUACAGAAAGCUGGAGACUAAAGGCUACGACCAGGGACCGGGAAGAAUCAAGCUCAUCAUCAGAAGGGAACAUCUACUGGAAGGCACCUUUAAUCAAGUAAUGUCCUACUCACGCAAAGAGCUCCAGAGAAACAAGCUCUUAAUCGCCUUCGUAGGAGAGGAGGGUUUGGAUUACAGCGGCCCAGUUCUUCUUCCUGUUGUCUCAGGAGCUGUUUAACCCCUACUACGGUCUGUUUGAGUACUCGGCCAACGACACGUAUACUGUACAGAUCAGCCCCAUGUCUGCAUUAGUACAGAACCAUCUGGAAUGAUCAUAGAGAGGGAACUGAAGUCGGGAGACUCCAAUACACAAGUGACGGAGAAGAACAGGAAGGAAUACACUGAGCGAAUGGCUAGAUGGAGGGUGGAGAGGGGGUCAUGCAUGUUUGAUGCUCGUGAGCUGUAGUUGGUCAUUGCAGGGACGGCUGAGAUCGAUCUGAAUGACUGGAGAUCCAACACAGAAUAUAGAGGAGGUCAGUGGAUGCUUGCGUUGUCUUUAACAAUUCUCGACAGUUGCUCUGUCAACAGUGGGUAAUAUUGUACAUUUUGUUCAUAAAGCUAUCCAUAGAUGUUUAAUUACUGGAGAGAAG